AGCCAGGUUCUAAAACGGACUCAAACGACGGACCAACUAACGGACUCAUCAAAAAAUGAAGCACGCGGGUCAUUUUGAACCUUCCGGGUCAAAUAUUGAGAGAAACAAACCCGGACAAUUGAGAUCUCCCCUCCUUCUUUCUUAAUCUUCCAACGUAGAGAUCGAAAACCCUUACCAGUACUUCGCGAGAAAAUCUCUG
rnacentral:lncRNA from 1 species